GCAUGGCACUAUCUUCACUCACUGCAACCUCUCAACUUAUCCUUCCACCUCAGCCUUCAGAGUAGCUGGGACUACAGGCGCCCACCAUCCCGCCCAGCUAAUUUUUGUGUUUUUUUUUCUAGAGACAGGUUUUGAUCAUGUUGCCCAGCCUGAUCACAAACCCCUGAGCUCAGGCAGUCCUCUCACUUAGGCCUCCCAAAGUGCUGAGAUUACAAGCAUGAGUCACAACACUGGCCUUAACAAAAACUUUUUUUUUUGAGAUGGAGUUUUGCUCUUGUUGCCCAGGCUGGAGUGCGAUCACAGGAUCCCAGCUCACUGCAACCUCUGCCACCUGGGUUCAAGCGAUUUUCCUGCCUCAGCCUCUCCAGUAGCUGGGAUUACAGAUGCCUGCCACCAUGCCCAGCUAAUUUUUUUUUUUUUUUGUAUUUUUAGUAGAGAUGGGGUUUCACCAUGUUGGCCAAGCUGGUCUCAAACUCCUGACCUCAGGUGAUCCACCCACCUCAACCUCCCAAAGUGCUGGGAUUAUAGGCGUGACCCACCGCGCCUGGUUCCAAGUUUGAUUUCUACUGAGUAUAUUCCUCACUUGAAAAUGUUUUGCAGAAU
rnacentral:lncRNA from 1 species